UGGCUCGCCGCAUUUCCCUUGCUCUUCUUUGAGUAUCUGCAGGUUUAUGGGUGAAGCUUACCUUUACGGUUUGAGUUUUCGCCAGAGGAGCUAGGGAUCAUUGACGACGUGUCUGAUCGGAGGAGAGUGUUUUGUCUGUGGCGUUUGUUCCAUUCAGUUGCUGUUGGAUCGUCUGUUUUCCUUUUUCCCAUGAUGAACAGUUGUGAUUUUGGUGUAAAAACUCUGUGCGUGUUAGUCCUAAAGACGGGGUGUAGGAAUUCUGAUGAACAGUCGUGGUCUUGUUGGUCUGAUUACGUAACGUAUAUUUGUUGUGGAGACAUUUACAUAAUGAACCCCAUUUAUUUUCACUAUA